rnacentral:rRNA from 1 species
GACGAACGCUGGCGGCGUGCUUAACGCAUGCAAGUCGAACGGAAAGGCCCUUCGUGGUCCUCGAGUGGCGAACGGGGGAGUAACACGUGGGUGAUCUUCACCGCACUUUGGGAUUAGCCUGGGUAACUGGGUCCAAUACCGAAUAGGACCACGCUCUUCAACGUGUUGGGUGGAUAGUUUUUGCGGUGUUAGCUGGGCCGGCGGCCUAUCAGCUUGUUGGUGGGGGAAUGGCAUACCAAGGCGACGAGUGGUAGCCGGCCUGCGAGGGGGACCGGCCACACGGGGACUGAGAUAGGGCGCAGACGCGUACGGGACGCAGCAGUGGGAAGUAUUGCAGAGUAGGGGCAAGCCAGAUACAAAGACCCCGGGUGCGGGAUGACGUCUUUCGGGUUAUAAACCACUUUCAAAGGGAACGUGGCGGAAGUGACGGUACCUAUAGAAGAAGCACCGGCCAACUACGUG